UCCAAUGUCUUUUCUAGUU
rnacentral:snRNA from 1 species